AGAGGGGGCGGGGUCUCAAUGAGCCCCUCAUUAACUUUCAUUCAUCUCUGACCUCAUUAACCUCUGACCUCGUUAACCUGACUUCUUUAACGUCUGAUCUCAUUAACCCUGCUGACCUCAUUAAGCUCUGAUCUCAUUAACCCCACUGACCUUGUUAACCCAGAGCUCCUUUAUUAACCUCAUUAACCUCGUAUCCCAUUAACCCUGCUGACCUCAUUAACCUCAUAUCUCAUUAACCCCACUGACCUCGUUAACCCAGAGCUCCUUUAUUAACCUCAUUAACCCUGAUGACCUCAUUAACCUCAGAUCUCGUUAAUCUCCACCUCAGCAUCCCCCAGCACCCAACAAGCCUUAAUGAGCCCCCACCAAUUAACGAGCCUUAAUGAGCUGCCCAUAAUUAAUGAGCCUCUGCACAGGUCCCUAAUGAGCCUUAACGAGUCCCCACAACCAAAACAAGGCCAACAUUGGGGUCCCCCCCUGCUGAUCCUGGGGACCCCCCAGCUCCUCCACCAUUCUACUGAGGCUAAUGAGCCUAACGAGCCCAAUCAGCCUAAUGAGAGUAAUGAGCCUAACAAGCUUAAUGAGCUCUAAUAAGACUAAUGAGCCUUAAUGAGGCCCUGCCACCUGCUGCCCCUCACCUGCUGACCCCUGGGGACCCCCAAGCUCCUCCACCAUUCUAAUGAGCCCAAUGAGCCCUAAUGACCUCUAAUGAGCCCA
rnacentral:lncRNA from 1 species